AUUUGGUUGACAUCUAGAAAUAAUUUAUUUUCUAAAAAUUAUAACUCUAACGCCUAAACAUGAAACUACAUAGCUCGUGUAAUCGUAUGAUAACUGUGAAAUAUUAGUAAAAUACACAUGUUAUUAUGCGAUGGGAACCAUAUCCCUGCCAGCCAUUGCUAACAACUUUCCCCUUACGUCUCAACACAAUAACCCAAUUUUCUUUCAUUUACAACACCAAUGCACCCAUAUGAGAAUUUCCCGAAAAGAAUAAAACUUGUUAUGCCAUUUCUUGAUCUUAUUGAAUGAGUGCGAAUGGGAAAACAAGAUUGUCAUUGAUGUCAAAAGGACCAAAAAAGGAAAAUAAAAAAACGAGUGAGCAAGUUAUUUACGUUCGUAAAAUUCAAUGUUAAAGCCUGAGGCUGGAUGUCUGUCAAUAACAGCAACACGCUGUAUAGUGUACAGUGGAUAGAUUCAGCAUACAAAUAUGGACCAAUUCCAUUCAUAUUUAGCGCUAAGACUUUAAUAUAAUUUUGAAACUUUUAAGAAAUGUGUCUUGUCGUGGUGCACGGGCUUAAGUCGCAAAGCAUUAUCGGUACCUUGCAACCGGUGUGAGCAGUGCUGCUUGGCACUGCUCAUGCGGGUUAUUAGAAGCAUGCGUGCGGCAACCAAUAACUUCCCCCUCCUAAUCCAGGGGGUUAUGCGACUCCCGUGCACAUUGGAUGAUUUGGAGCUGGGAGGUUAAAUCGGCUGUAUUUUAACGAAGCUUUUCCAACACCGGGCCCCAUUGGGAAGUAACGGUGGCCUUACCGUGUCAUGGGGCUCUGGCGCGGCAGACUUUUGCGUUCCCCUUUACUAGCGUUGACCCGACAUCUCAGCGCGUUGAGCUAAGGAUCGUAAGACAAAGAUGGAUUGCACAAACAAAACCACCAAAAUGACAACUACGCCUAGACAACAGCUACGGCAAACGACAAAGCACAAUGCCAACAACGAGAGCAUUAGUUCAGUUAAUGGGAAAGUUUAGAUUCAUGGAUGCCCUAUCGCCGGAGGAGCAUGCCAGAGAUGAUGACGUCGACAUGCCCUCUUGCAACGGCGCUCAGCAGGCAACAUCUACUGCGGUUGUUGCGGAUGUUGCUGUUGAAGCGAACAAAACUAAAACUCCCCCAGCAGGCUCAGCUGCUCGGAUUCGGCUUAGUCGCAACGGGCUUGUACCGAGGGUGCUCGCAAAAAGAGAGGAGGCAGACUUCCCCAUCCGCCCCCAGUUGGUUGACUCGGUGGACACGGCGACCCAUGAAGGAAGGGUAUAAGCAGAGCCAGCAUAAAAUGGUACCUGAGACACUUUCAGGAGGAAAAACCUGGGCAUCUUACUAAUCCAGGAACCAUGGGUCCAUAAAGCGGAGGUCAGGAGCUUCAAAACGGAUGCGAACAAGAGAUUAGGUCUCCAAAACAGCAAAGUUUUAGGAACUUCUGUGAAAACGUCUCCUCAACACCGGAGGCAGAAAGGCUGCACAGGGCUCUGACCAGAGGCAAGACUGACACACUAUUAGCUAUUAAAAUAUGUGACGGGACUUAUACGACCAGUGAGAAGAAAAAUCACUGGAUAGUCGCAAAACAGCUGUUUCCUUUGGACUCGAUCAAGGUGGCUAUGGAUUCGUUCGCGAAAUUACAGGUCCUACUGCCCCACCUUGUUCGGCUGAUAAAUGAUAGCUUACGUUCACCAGACGAAGGUUCCUUCUCCGCCGCAAGAACUUGGAAGCAGAGAGUUGGAGAUGACUAAUGUGGUCAAAUAUCUAGGCCUCACUCUGGAUUCCACUCUUCGGUGGAAACAGAAUGUGGACCCUCAUAGUCAAAGCUACAAAAGCACUCAUGAUGUGCAAUCGACUUGCCGGGAAAUCCUGGGGCUGAAAGCUAAGCAUUAUGAGAUGUACACUAUGAUCGUGAGACUUCAACUAUCGAAGCUGCAACGACUGGCCUGCAUCUGUGCGUCGGGUGCAAUGCGUACGUGCCCGACAGCAGCACAGGAAAUUAUGUUGGAACUCACACCGCUUCACAUUGUAAUCGAUAAAGCCGCCAAAUAUACAACGCUUCAAAUGACAACAGAUGGGUUUGGCAGGGCGAAGGUAAUCUCGUCCCAAAUGAUAUAAAAUGUAUAAGAAACUCGACCUUGAGUCUAAAUCUAAGAAAGUGAAGUUUUUUAAAAAUGCACUGGUUAUAUAAUAUUGUUGAAACUGUAGUAACAUGGAAAUUUUACAGGAUAUAGCAAAUGCUUUGAUUAUAUAAAUUUGUUAAAACUGUAAUAGCCUGAUAACUUUACUUUGGCCUAAAUCAGUCAAAUUGAUGUUUUUCAUUAAAUACGGGACUUGCUCGAGAUCGCAGUAUGAGUUCGACUUUGAGUCGAAAACAAAGAAAGUGCAAUUUUUCGAAAUGCACUGGUUAUAGGAAUUUGUUCAUACUGUAAUAACAUAAAAUUUGGUGGGGUGGUGGUUUGACUCCUAUUACGCCAUUCACUGAGAGGGAGUCUGUGAAGGGGUUGAUGGCUCCACUGUGAAUGGCGGUCAGUGCCUGUCUGAAGUUCGUUGCGUCCGAAGUCCGGUCGGCGUACUGUCUAAUGGUUUCUACGAAAACACCCCAGUAGAAACGGCUUGGAGAGGAGUUCGUUGUGUUCC